rnacentral:lncRNA from 1 species
GAUGGACGUUCAUCCCUAGUGGCAGCACAGAGCAGCCAGGUGCGGUGCCUCAACACCUAAAGUCCCAGCACGUUGGGAGGCCAAGGCAGGCGGAUUACUUGAGCUUGGGGCCUGGCAGCUUGCAGAGCCAGCAGAUUCAACGUUAUUUGGCUGUCCAGUGGAAAGGUGGAGAAACUGAGGCCCUGCCCAUGAUAGGACUCAUCAAAGGCCACAUGUCAAUAAUCGGUAAAUAACCUGAAAAGUGAGUUCAACCAGGAGCCCUCAAAGUCAUGCCACUUCCUGCCCCAGGAAGCACGAGGAACCUCCAUCUUCAUUUGUGCUGACAACAUAACCUUAGAGAUGAGAAGUCUUAUCAGAAGCCAUCUGAAUCCAGCCAUCCCAGAAGCAUCCUGAGCCAAAGCCAAAGUGUAGUAGCCAGGCUGCUGGAGGGCUCGGAUGUGGCCUGGACCUGGCUCCACGAAGAUGAAGUGCUCCACAGCCCCUCUCACAGGAAUGAAGGCAGGAGAUAAAGGAUGUACCACAUCAGCAAGGAAGCAGCCCUUCAUGUGUACCUCACAGGUGCAGAAGAGCUCAGGAGAAAACUGGGGACAAAAGGCACUGACUUUGAAAGCCCUGAAAGGCCAGAACACCCACUACCAGAUUAUGUAUGAUCUCAGGAGAUGUGUACGGGUUCAAGUUGACAAGAGGUGGACUUGUGAUGGACUUCUGACAAGGAGUGGACUUGUGAUUACUACUCCAAGAAAAUUGAGACAGGACCUCUCCCUAACUCAUUCUAUGAGGCCAGCAUUAUCCUGAUACCAAAACCUGGCAGAGAUACAAA